rnacentral:rRNA from 1 species
AUUGAACGCUGGCGGCAGGCCUAACACAUGCAAGUCGAGCGGAUGAAGGGAUGUUGCCCCUGGAUUCAGCGGCGGACGGGUGUGUAAUGCCUAGGAAUCUGCCUGGUAGUGGGGGAUAACGUCCGGAGACGGGCGGUAUUAUCGCAUACGCGCUGUGGGAGAAAGAGGGGGAUAUUCGCACCUCACGCUAUCAGAUGUGCCUAGGUCGGAUUAGAUAGUUGGUGGGGUAAAGGCCUACCAAGGCGACGAUCCGUAACUGGUCUGAGAGGAUGAUCAGUCACACUGGGACUGAGACACGGUCCAGACUCCUACGGGAGGCAGCAGUGGGGAAUUUUGGACAAUGGGCGAAAGCCUGAUCCAGCCAUGCCGCGUGUGUGAAGAAGGUCUUCGGAUUGUAAAGCACUUUAAGUUGGGAAGAAGGGCAGUGAGUUAAUACCUUGCUGUGUUGACGUUACCAACAGAAUAAGCACCGGCUAACUUCGUG